CCAGCCUAGUGAUUCUUCCAACCCCUAUAUGACACCCACUAGACCCAUGUAUUGCGUAGGUUAGGUAGCAAUACUUUUUUAAAGAACAUUUCCAUCUUUACCAAAAGAAAACAAAAGAACACUUCUAUCCAAUGAUACAUCCAUCUCUUUUAAUAUUGUGUUGUCGUUCUCAAGACCAAAUUUAUGUUGGAUCUUAAGCUGUUCUUGCUAUCAUUGAUUGCAAGCAUG
rnacentral:lncRNA from 1 species